UAUGUAGGGUGCAGGCGUUAAUCGGAAUUACUGGGCGUAAAGCGUGCGCAGGCGGUUAUAUAAGACAGUUGUGAAAUCCCCGGGCUCAACCUGGGAACUGCAUCUGUGACUGUAUAGCUAGAGUACGGUAGAGGGGGAUGGAAUUCCGCGUGUAGCAGUGAAAUGCGUAGAUAUGCGGAGGAACACCGAUGGCGAAGGCAAUCCCCUGGACCUGUACUGACGCUCAUGCACGAAAGCGUGGGGAGCAAACAGG
rnacentral:rRNA from 1 species